rnacentral:rRNA from 1 species
AUUGAACGCUGGCGGCAUGCCUUACACAUGCAAGUCGAACGGCAGCACGGGUGCUUGCACCUGGUGGCGAGUGGCGAACGGGUGAGUAAUACAUCGGAACGUACCUUAUCGUGGGGGAUAACGCAGCGAAAGCUGUGCUAAUACCGCAUACGCCCUGAGGGGGAAAGCGGGGGAUCGCAAGACCUCGCGCGAUUAGAGCGGCCGAUGCCUGAUUAGCUUGUUGGUGGGGUAAAAGCCCACCAAGGCGACGAUCAGUAGCUGGUCUGAGAGGACGAUCAGCCACGCUGGGACUGAGACACGGCCCAGACUCCUACGGGAGGCAGCAGUGGGGAAUUUUGGACAGUGGGGGCAACCCUGAUCCAGCAAUGCCGCGUGAGUGAAGAAGGCCUUCGGGUUGUAAAGCUCUUUUGUCAGGGAAGAAACACCGGCUCUAACACAGUCCGGGAAUGACGGUACCUGAAGAAUAAGCACCGGCUAACUACGUGCCAGCCGCCGCGGUAA